GAAGGUUUUGAUUAGAGUCAUAUUUUGGAUCCAGCAAGAUUCUCAGUGAGAAAAGAGUUUGCUUUUGAGAGUGAAGACUAUGAGGAUGUUGAGACCAAUGGAAAUGAAAUGUUCAGACCAACGGAAAUGAGAGACUUGAAUAAACAUAGAUCAGAGAGUGGUGGAGACAAGGAAAAUUGCCAGCGAUGUCGUGUGUCUUCCCUGUCCUACGAUGACAUUGCUGAGGAGGAGAGCAUCCCAGCUCAACCCUUAACCAGUAGAAGAUAUGGAACCAGUAGCCUGAAGCCCAGGGGCAGGAGCAGGAGCAGGAGCUGCUGCUAACCACAGACAUGUUACCUACGAGGUGGAGGAAGAUCCACAGAAGAGCUACGAGGAUGUGAUGUCGAUGACCACGCCAGCUGAGGAGACCAGAGAGGAGGUUGCAUAAGUCAUUGAGAGACCCAAACCCAAGGAGCUGUAUGUCCAUGCUGAUGAGGAGGGUGACCUGGAGCCUAUUGGAGAGGGGAUCCCAAAGUUGGCGUCAAAAAUCAGGGUGUCUGCAUAAGAACCUCACGUUCCCUCUUCAUCGGUCCACUUAUAAUAUUGCUGUUUCUUUUUCAUAUAUGAAGACACAAUUAUUAGAAUUACUUGACUCUUUUUUGUCUCUAACAUUUGAUAUUGUUUCAAAUGUUUUGAUUCAUUUGACAUGUUUUGAUUAGUUUGUUGUGCCAUGGCCUGUAAAGCAGAACUGACUGACACAGAACAGAAUCAAUGGUGUCUAUCUUACAACAACACAUGUAUUAAUGAAACAUGAUCUUGCUAUGUGGUAGUUCCUUCCAUAAAGAACAGCAUGUGAAAAGUCUUAAUUGCUUUUUAUGCGUCAAAGCUCAUAGCCAACAGCUGUUUUUCAAUUACUUUUAUCGUAAUURUUUUUACU